rnacentral:rRNA from 1 species
CAACCAGGGAUUGCCUCAGUAACGGCGAGUGAAGCGGCAAGAGCUCAAAUUUGAAAUCUGACCUUUCAGGUCCGAGUUGUAAUUUGCAGAGGAUGUUUCGGGUAAGAUCCAGGCCUAAGUUCCUUGGAACAGGACGUCAUAGAGGGUGAGAAUCCCGUACGUGGCUCAUGAUCGCACCCAUGUGAAACUCCUUCGACGAGUCGAGUUGUUUGGGAAUGCAGCUCAAAAUGGGUGGUAAAUUUCAUCUAAAGCUAAAUAUUGGCCAGAGACCGAUAGCGCACAAGUAGAGUGAUCGAAAGAUGAAAAGCACUUUGAAAAGAGAGUUAAAAAGCAUGUGAAAUUGUUGAAAGGGAAGCGCUUGCAGCCAGACUUGUUUAUAGGGUUCAGCCGUCGUUCCCGUCGGUGUAUUUCCCUAUCAUCAGGCCAGCAUCAGUUUGGGUGGAAGGUCAAAGGCCUUGGGAAUGUACCAUCCUCCGGGAUGACUUAUAGCCCUCGGUGUAAUGCUUCCUACCUAGACUGAGGCACGCGUUCGCUAGGAUGCUGGCGUAAUGGCUGUAAGCGACCCGUCUUGAAACACGGACCAAGGAGUCUAACAUCUAUGCGAGUAUUUGGGUGUCAAACCCAUAUGCGUAAUGAAAGUGAACGGAGGUGGGAACCUUUUAGGCGCACCAUCGACCGAUCCAGAUGUCUUCGGAUGGAUUUGAGUAAGAGCAUAGCUGUUGGGACCCGAAAGAUGGUGAACUAUGCCUGAAUAGGGUGAAGCCAGAGGAAACUCUGGUGGAGGCUCGCAGCGGUUCUGACGUGCAAAUCGAUCGUCAAAUUUGGGUAUAGGGGCGAAAGACUAAUCGAACCAUCUAAACAAGUUAUUGGAUGGUAUCCAGUCCUCAACGAAUGCUGGGGGCAACGUCAAGAUUCUAUGGGAAGGCUCAAGUCCAACCCGUACCCUGGAAUUCCGGGGCUACAGACUAGAUAUUGGCGGUCAUGAUAAUGAUUAAGAUAUAGCCGGAAUGCCCUUGUAUAAGGGUCCGUUUUGGGUAGCUGGUUCCUGCCGAAGUUUC